UAGAGCACAAAUAAACUUCUAGUCUCACAGCAUUUAGGAUCCUUCGGAAAGGUAAAGGUGGAGGUGUUAAGAGGACCAGAGAGCUGCCUCACACCAGUUUUUAAGCUUUAAUAUUGUUAAAUAUGUUACACCCUCCUGUUUCCAGUCUGAUGAAAUCUGAAACAAAUAAUACCCUGAUCCAACACUAUAUUAAGAUAAACUGCUUUGAACUGUGCUUUGAAUGUGUGCCUAAAGCAAGGCUUUGAAUGCAAGAGUCACUGGCAAUUGCACUCAAAGGAGGGACAAGCCACCACAUGGGUUGCCACAUCACACUCCCAGAGAAAGCUUCACAUGUGAGAUAAAUGCACUCAAAGAUUCCUCACAAGUAGCUCUUUGGAGCUUCGGAUGUGAAAUGGAUCAUUCCUCAAUCUGUAAUAGACCCUUCUGUGAAGCUCUUCAAUCAAACCAGAGAAUUCAAGAGUUUCCACUAGCUAAGAGUGGUAUUUGGCUGAUGGUAGGCCAAACGAAUAAAGAAGACAUGAAAAAAUCUUGAUAGAAGACAUUCAAAAAUUGAUUUGAUAUCAGAUACAAGAAGAAAAUAUGCCAAUAAGAAAAUGCAUUUUUUAGGAUUAAAUUCGGCAUUUGUUACUUAAUAGCAUUUGUCAUCUUCCAGUUUUUCAAAUGUAGUAAAUUAAUUUCAAAUCA